UCCAUGACCUAACAGACUGUACUGUGUCAGGAUUCAGCUAUGCCUGGUGCUGCUGGACUAGGUCCCAGUCUGGGUCUCAUAAGGAAGGAUUGACUUGUGUGUGGCCUCCAAUGCAGUUUCACUUGUCUUCAAAGCCCUCUGCAGAAUGUCCCUGUCAAUCACCAAACUGCUCUUCCAAGUAUAUUUUCCAGAAAGAAGGAAGCCCGUGGGGAAUGGGUGGAAAAGGAAGGGUAGUGGAGAUGGUGGGAGAAGGAAAAAAGAAAAAGGACGACGAAAUAUAAGAAAGGAAAGAGAGAGAAGAGAAUGAGAGAAUGACCGCUACCCAGGCAGAGAGGAAGAACAGGAAACGCGGUUCCUGGGGACAGGUGGGGGAACAGCAACAACAACAAAAACACCUCGAAUAAACUACAAGUUCCUAACGUUUGUAAA